GGCGCACGGGUGCGUAACGCGUGAGCAACCUACCCAUAUCAGGGGGAUAGCCUCUCGAAAGAGAGAUUAACACCGCAUAACAUCAUUUACCGGCAUCGGUUUUUGAUCAAAUAUUUAUAGGAUAUGGAUGGGCUCGCGUGACAUUAGCUAGUUGGAGAGGUAACGGCUCACCAAGGCUACGAUGUCUAGGGGCUCUGAGAGGAGAAUCCCCCACACUGGUACUGAGACACGGACCAGACUCCUACGGGAGGCAGCAGUAAGGAAUAUUGGUCAAUGGAGGCAACUCUGAACCAGCCAUGCCGCGUGCAGGAUGACUGCCCUAUGGGUUGUAAACUGCUUUUGUCAGGGAAUAAACCUUUCUACGUGUAGGAAGCUGAAUGUACCUGAAGAAUAAGGAUCGGCUAACUCCGUGCCAGCAGCCGCGGUAAUACGGAGGAUCCAAGCGUUAUCCGGAUUUAUUGGGUUUAAAGGGUGCGUAGGCGGUCCUAUAAGUCAGUGGUGAAAGACGGCAGCUUAACUGUCGCAGUGCCUUUGAUACUGUAGGACUUGAAUCUAUUUGAAGUGGGCGGAAUAAGACAAGUAGCGGUGAAAUGCAUAGAUAUGUCUUAGAACUCCGAUUGCGAAGGCAGCUCACUAAGUUAGUAUUGACGCUGAUGCACGAAAGCGUGGGGAUCAAACAGGAUUAGAUACCCUGGUAGUCCACGCCCUAAACGAUGAUAACUCGAUGUUUGCGAUACACAGUAAGCGUCCAAGCGAAAGCGUUAAGUUAUCCACCUGGGGAGUACGGUCGCAAGAUUGAAACUCAAAGGAAUUGACGGGGGCCCGCACAAGCGGAGGAGCAUGUGGUUUAAUUCGAUGAUACGCGAGGAACCUUACCCGGGCUUGAAAGUUAGUGAAUGAUCCAGAGACGGAUCAGUCCUUCGGGACACGAAACUAGGUGCUGCAUGGCUG
rnacentral:rRNA from 1 species